CAAACUACAAUGAAUUACUGUCAAAUGUGCACAUAUCAUACCUGUACAUUCAUAAUUGUCUAUAUUAUAUAUUGUGUUUUUGCUAUUUUGUACAUUGUAUAUUUGUAUAUUAUUCUUUUUAUUAUCGGUGUCCUAUCCUGUCGCUGUCAUUCUGUUGCACUGUGGAGCUUCUGUCACUAUAACAAAUUCCUCGUAUGUGUAAACAUACCUGGCAAUAAAGCUCAUUCUCUUCAUGUAUCUUCUACAUAUCACAAAUGUAUUUUCGUGUAAAUGGUUCCCCCUGGUGGAGAUGCUCUCCUGACUUGACUUUAGAAGUCUGGGGCCUUAUUACAGAAAUGAACUUAAAACGACAUGGUUACUAAACACACAGUUAAUAACACAGGAUUCUGGAUUUCAUUUCAAAAUCAAUCAGUUUUUAUUUGGUAAGGAAAACACAUACAUGACAUCUAGAAAAUAAAUUCAGACCCAGCGGUCUACAUUUAAUUUCAUCAAUGUUUAACAUACUUCAACAGUCAAUUAGUAAAAAAAAAAAUCAAAUAAAAAAAAUAAGCCAAACUCUUACGAUUGCUGUGUUUAUAAUUCAUUUAUAUUAUUUUACAAUAGAGCACAUCAAUCAGACAUGGCAAAACUGGCAGCUGACAAUGCGUUUGCUGUGCCAAACCUUAGCUGUCAAGCUUUGUUUAGAUGGGCAAUUGUUUAGACUGGCAUUUCCAUCUCAAAUGCUUUUAGUUUCUUUAGUAUGACCAGCAAAUAAAAUCAGGUGCCUGUACCAUGAUGGUGGCUGAACAAACUCAGGGUUACAGGAUUAGUUUUGAGUUGACAAACCAGUCCAAUCCAGCUUUGUUGGUACCAUGAAACUGAUCAUAAACUUUCUCUGUCGACUCAGGCUUGAUCCUGAGUUAAUGGAGCGUGUGCACAUGAAUGUGUGACAUCAGUAAUGAGCAGCCAAUCACAUGCCUUAAAACUGUGAUUCACUUCUUGUGAGAGUCGGUGCGAUUCACUACCAAAGAUUAAAAUAUUGAACAAUAUGAAGAAUUUAAACACUUACACAGUGUGACGGUUCCCGUUACUGAAUUCGUGAGCGCUUUGUGAUUGGCGGCUCCACUUAUGAUUCACUUCAAUUGGCGUCUUAUUGAGUGCACCUGCUGCUGCGGUUCAGAUGCCCUUUAAAAGGGAUUACUAGCGGAGACAACGGCGCACUCGGAUUUUGGACUUGGGAUUUUUGGGUUGUGUUUGGUUUGAUUCUUAUUGUUUGAGCACUUUUAUAUCGCUACAACAGCACAUUACAUUAACAGCCAAGCACCCCGCUUUACACACUGAUGCUGAUGCGUGUGUCACUCCUUUUGUUGCUUCCCUUUUGAGCCAGGGGUUGUAACAAAUUGGGGGCUCGUCCUCGUUUGGUUUUGUAAAAAAUACAAAUUUAAAAUGAUACUUUGGUAAUUGGUUUUGGAUGUUUUUUUUGGGGACGCAUGCAUAUUAGCUCAUAUCCGAGAUUAAGUCGUCGUGUAAAAUCACCAGUUGGUAAGUACAUAUGUGCAAUAUUGUUUUGAACGAUGAGUUUCCCUGUUAGGUAUAGCGGCAUGUUUCCUUUUGAGAUGUGUCGAGUUUGUUGUUUUGUGUAGUGUUGCAGUGAACUUUUUUUGAAAUCCGAUAUGGAUGAAUCUGUAACGGGUGUAUCUAAUUUGCAAUCGACUUUGUCUUUUGAGCAGCAAAAAGAGCUACUACUUUUACAGAUGGAGCAUGAGAAAUUAAAGCAACGUUCCGAAGGGAGUAAGCUGGAGUUGGAAAGAGCAAGACUUGAAGUAGAAACCCUCAAAUUGAAACUUGCGAAAGAGGGUAAGUUGUCUAAUUUUGGUGAGGGACAAACCAUGUCUUUUUUUUUAAGUGAGGAACAAACCAUGUCUUUUUCGCUAACUUCAAAUAUAAAACUGGUUCCAAAGUUCAAUGAAGAAGACCCUGAUAUUUUCUUUACUUUGUUUGAACGCAUGGCAGAAAUGAGGGACUGGUCAAAUGAUAAUUGUGUUGCUUUGCUACAAUGUGUUUUAACUGGAAGAGCACAAGUAGUUUUUUCUUCAAUGUCGGUUGAUGACUGUAGGGAUUAUGAUAAAGUUAAAUCGGUGAUUUUAAAGGCUUACGAAUGUGUACCGGAAGCAUACAGACAGCGUUUUCGUUUGCAGGAAAAAGAGGAAAUACAAACACAUUUAGAAUUUGUCAGAGAUUUGAGGAGAAAUUUUAAUCGUUGGUGUACAGCACUGGAUAUUACGACAUUUGAUGAUUUAACUCAUUUGAUGGUGUUAGAACAAUUUAAGAACACAGUUCCGAAUCGUCUUGCCGUAUAUAUUAAUGAGCACAAUGUUAAAACUCCUGAAGAAGCGGCGAUGUUAGCCGACGACUUUGUACUGACACAUAAAUCUGCAUUUGUUCUUUUCUUCAUCUAAAAAUGACCGUGCGUUCACGGGGAAAUUUGACCCGAGUAAGGUAUGCAAUUACUGCCGGGAGAAAGGACACUGGAAACUGGAUUGUCCAGUCCUUAAGAAUAAAUCCAACCGAACUAUUUCACGUUCACCUGUUAAGUCUGCUGCUUUAGUGGCACCAGCUCUGUCUGAGGGGAUUGGAAGGUUUGAAAAUCAGAAACCCGAUUUUGAAUCUGUCUUCUUACACUCCUUUCAUUACAGAAGGUCGUGUAUGUUUAGUAGGAGAGGAGGAAAUCCCUGUUAAAAUACUAAGGGAUACUGGAUCGAUGGAUUCGUUCAUAUUGGAGUCUGUCCUGCCGUUUUCUUCGCAAUCACAUACUGGUGAGAGCGUGUUAAUUAGGGGAAUAGGACUGAAUGUUCUGUCUGUGCCUCUUCAUAAGGUGAGCCUUCAGUCGGAGUUGAUUCAAGGUGAAGUUGUAAUGGGAGUACGACCAGCCUUGCCAAUUGAGGGAGUUCAUAUUAUUCUAGGAAAUGGACUUGUAGGUGAGCGUGUAUGGGCUGACAGUUCUGUGUUCCCUAUAGUUACUAAUAAUAAAAACUAAACGGAACCUAGCCACGAUGCCACCUGUGUAGUGACUCGUGCAAUGAAGCAGCGAGAGGAUGAAUUGAUUAAUCAAAAAACUCAGUUUAAUAAAGCUUGCACUGAUUUGUUUGUUCCUGAUUUGUCUGCGUUGUCUUUUCCUGUGUCAGCAGAGGAAUUCGGAAAAGAACAGCGAGCCGAUUCCUCGUUGGAUGCGCUCUUCCAGUGUGCUGUCACUCCAGCAGAGAUGAGUAACCUUGCUCGUGGGUAUGUUGUUAGUGAUGGAGUGUUGUUGAGGAAAUGGAUUCCUCACAAAGGGGAUUUUGUUGGAGAUCCUGUUUUCCAGGUGGUGGUUCCUGUUAAGUUUCGCUGCAAAAUGAUCGAAAUUGCACAUGAUCAAUCAGGUCAUCAGGGCGUACGUAAAACUUAUGAUCGCUUGUUGCGAUAUUACUUUUGGCCGCGUCUAAAAUCUCGGUUUAUAUUAAGAAAUGUAAGACGUGUCAGCUCACUAGUAAGCCGAAUCAAGUGUUGAAACCUGCACCUUUGAAACCAAUUCAAGCUGCUGGUGAACCUUUUGAACACAUUCUUGUUGAUUGUGUCGGACCACUUCCUCGUUCUAAAUCAGGAAGCAACUAUUUGUUUACUGUAAUGUGCUUGAACACGCGUUUUCCGGCAGCAUAUCCAUUACGUACUAUUACGUCGCGUUCUAUUGUGAGAGCAUUAACUCAAUUUAUAUCUGUCUUUGGUAUUCCAAAAAUCAUCCAAAGUGAUCAGGGUUCAAAUCUGACUUCUCAUCUUUUUCAGCAAGUUCUGAAACAAUUGCACAUUAAGCAUAAUCAGUCUACUGUUUACCACGCACAAAGUCAGGGUGCGUUGGAGAGAUUUCAUCAGUCCUUAAAAUCGCUUCUUCGAGCAUAUUGUGUACAAUUAGAUCAAGAUUGGGAGGAAGGUUUACCCUGGAUGAUGUUAGCUGCUCGCGAAGUAGUGCAGGAAAGUACUGGUUUUAGCCCUAAUGAUUUAGUCUUUGGCCAUAAAGUGCAAGGUCUCUUAUCUGUUUUUCAAGGGGUUGGGAAAGUUGCAGAGCCUCCAAAAAAAUUGAUGGCCUAUGUUUUGGGAUUCAAAAACCGACUUAUGCAGGCCAGAGAAUUUGCCAAAGUAAACCUUGAAAAACAUCAACGAAAUAUGAAGCGACUUUCUGAUCGGACAGUUGAACGUCGAGAGUUUGAACCAGGAGAUCAAGUUUUGGUACUCCGGCCAAUAGUAUCUUCUCCUUUUGAAGCCAAAUUCGAUGGCCCGUUUGUUGUGCAACGUAAGUUAAGUGAUGAGAAUUAUGAGGUUAUAACUUCGUCACGGAAAAAGUCAGUCAAACGGUACCAUGUAAAUUCGUUAAAACCUUACUAUGAAAAUGAGACUAAAGCUGUACCGAAUAAGAUAUCUGCGCAUUCUGUACUUUCUUCUGUAUCUGUUGGUGAGGGGAAGAUGAGUUUAGUGGGGGAGGAAGAGGAGACCAUUUCUCCUGAUGAUUGCGUGUUCAGUGGCUUUUUAAAAAUUCUGAAUCUUUGCAGAACUUGGAGUCGACUCUCCGUUAUUUACCUCAUGAGAAAUGUCAGGAGUUGUGCCAAUUGUUACAUGGUUUUCCUGAAUUAUUUGGAGAUGCUCCUUCGUACUGAUUGGGUGCAGCAUGAUAUCGAUGUGGGGGACGCAAAGCCUAUCAAACAGCGUUUUUAUCGUGUUUCACCUGAGAAACGGGGAAUAAUGGAGAAGGAAAUAAAGUAUAUGCUAGAUCACAAUAUUGCUGUACAUUCAUCUUCUGACUGGGCUUCCCCAUGUUUAUUAGUAGGGAAAUCAGAUGGAACGGUUAGAUUUUGUACAGAUUUCCGAAAAGUCAAUAGCUUAACUAGGCCAGACUGUUUCCCUUUGCCCCGUAUUGAAGAUUGCGUUGACCAGGUUGGGUCCGCCAAGUUUGUCAGCAAGUUUGAUUUGCUGAAGGGCUAUUGGCAAGUGCCUCUAACAAAAAGAGCCCAAGAAAUAUCAUCUUUUGUCACUCCGUCCGGGCUUUUUUCUUAUCAGGUUAUGAGUUUUGGACUUCGAAAUGCUCCGGCUACGUUUCAACGCCUUAUGAACACAGUAAUUUCGGGUCUUGAGGGCUGUGCUGUUUAUUUGGAUGAUUUGGUUGUUUUUAGUGACAGUUGGGAAUCUCACUUAAAGCGCCUUCGCAGUGUUACAACGUCUAUCUGAUGCGCGGCUUACCGUAAAUUUAGCAAAAUGUGAGUUUGCUAAAGCGACCGUGACGUACCUCGGUAAGGUGGUGGGGAAUGGUAAAGUGUGUCUGGUUCAGGCUAAAGUACAAGCCAUUCAGGAUUUUCCUCCGACGACAAAGAAAGAGCUCAUGCGGUUUUUAGGAUUAGUAGGAUAUUACCGAUCGUUCUGUUGUAAUUUCUCCACAGUAGUGGCACCUCUUACUGAUUUAUUGAAAGGUAAGACAAAGUUUAUCUGGUCCUCUAGCUGUCAACUGGCUUUUGAAAAUGUCAAGUCCUUGUUGUGCUCAGCACCCGUGCUUUUGGCUCCAUGUUUCGAUAAAACGUUCACUUUGCACGUCGAUGCCAGUAACGUGGGAGCUGGGGCUGUUCUUCAGCAGUCUGAUGAGAAGGGAGUCGAACAUCCUGUCAGUUUCUUUUCGAGGAAGUUUAAUUCUUAUCAGCGUCACUACUCUACCGUUGAGAAAGAAGCAUUAGGUCUUAUUUGGGCAUUGCAGCAUUUCUCUGUUUAUCUUAAUUCUAGUGCACCAAUUGUUAUAUAUACAGAUCACAAUCCUUUGACUUUUUUGAAUUCUCUACAGUGUCCGAACCAGAGGCUGAUCCGGUGGUCCCUGUUUUUGCAGUCUUUCUGCUUGGAUAUUCGUCAUGUUCAAGGAUCUGAAAACGUGGUCUCUUUGUAGGAGUCCCUGUCUUAUGGGGAGGGGUGUGACUGUUCCCGUUACUGAAUUCUUGAGCGCUUUGUGAUUGGCGGCUCCACUUAUGAUUCACUUCAAUUGGCGUCUUAUUGAGUGCACCUGCUGCUGCGGUUCAGACGCCCUUUAAAAGGGAUUACUAGCGGAGACAACGGCGCGCUCGGAUUUUGGACUUGGGAUUUUUGGGUUGUGUUUGGUUUGAUUCUUAUUGUUUGAGCACUUUUAUAUCGCUACAACAGCACAUUACAUUAACAGCCAAGCACCCCGCUUUACACACUGAUGCUGAUGUUUUCAGAAAUAUUGUUAGUUGUUUUGUUGUGUUUUGUUUUACUGUAGUGGUUUAUUUUUGAGCUUAAUAAAGCCUUUUCUUCUUGAGCUUUACGUUUGCGUGCGUCCCUCCUUUUGUUGCUUCCCUUUUGAGCCAGGGGUCGUAACAACAGCAAGAUGAAACGAUUUAUCUAUGAAAGAGGAAAACAUAAAGAAUUAUCUAUGUUUAUAUUAAUUUCAAAUAAAAGCUUAAUUAUUACUAUUAAACUAAAUUGGCUUGUGUAAUUGAUUAAGGAUUAAUUUAUAUAAUGAUUAUAUAAAUAAUAUAAAAAAAUUAUAAAAAAUAAUCAUCUCUAAAAAUCAGAUGAUUUUAUCUUUAAAAAUGUUUUACUACGUAGCGUCCUUUCAUUUGGAGUAAGAGAAACUGGAGGAGUGGCUUUAUUGCGUCAGAGAUGUCACUUUUCUUGAAGCUGAUUGGUCAAAUUUCGGUUUGAGAUCUCUAAACCAGAACAUAACCUGCCCCGGAGCAGGUUAGCUGUGGAGCGUAAGUUACUAUGGCGAUGAACACUGCUAAAAGCCAAAGCACUUUCAUGGUACCUAAAACCCAGAGUUGUCACAAACUAAACUGAAACUUACCUGGCUAGCCAGUAAACCGACUUCAUGGUACAGGCCCCAGGUGUUAACAAAGCUGUACCUAUUGUUUUUUUGCUGUUUAUUGGAAUGCAAGUCACCAUUAGAUCAGAUUUCAAGCAGUUUUUCUCAUCAUUUGGGAUGAUGAAAUAUGAUCAUAUGGGAAACAGCACAUUUUUGUAUAUCCUUGAAAGGAAUAGUUAACCCAAAAAAUGAAAAUUUGCUGAAAAAUGCACUCAGGCCAUCCAAGGUUAUUUUUGGAACAGAUCAUUGGAAAAGAUUUGAAUAAA